rnacentral:tRNA from 1 species
GCCUGGGUAGUUCAGUUGGUAGAGCAUGUGACUCUUAAUCUCGGGGUCAUGAGUUCAAGCCCCACACUGGGUG